rnacentral:rRNA from 1 species
CCCGUUAGCUAAAUGCGGAAGAGAUAAGUGCUGUAAGCAUCUAAGCACGAAACUUGCCCCGAGAUGAGUUCUCCCUGAGACUUUGUGUCUCCUGAAGGAACGUUGAAGACGACGACGUUGAUAGGCCGGGUGUGUAAGCGCAGCGAUGCGUUGAGCUAACCGGUACUAAUGAACCGUGAGGCUUAACCUUACAACGCCGAAG